rnacentral:lncRNA from 10 species
CGCCCCCGAGGCCGCGGACGGGGAACCACUGUCCCACAGGGCUACCGCCUGGGGCAACCCGAGGCUGUCCUGGGGCGCUAGCGGGCUCCGGCCACCCCUCCCUUUCCUUCCCUCUGGGCCUCCAGUGCCUUCGGAUCAAAGUGGUCCGGGUAGCCCGGCCGGCCGUGGUCUCGCUCUGUCGCCCAAGCUGGAAUGCAGUGGCGUGAUCUCGGAUCACUGCAACCUUCGUCUCCCAGAUGCCUCAGGAGCUGCGUCCUGAUAGGGACCAGGCACCUCCGGAAUUCUCUCUCCAACAAAAGCUUACUUCAGGAGUUGAACAUAUACCCUGCUGAAGAGUAACUAAUUUAUAACCUGGCAGGAUCCACGAUUGCACCAGCCCCUCCACCAAAUAAGACGAUAAUUAAAGAGGACCACUGGAGCAAGUCACACCACCUGGUACCUCCUAACCUCCCCCUUGCCUUUUCUGCAUUUCAGAUCCUUUCUUAAAAAACCCCUGCGUUCCCCCCAUGAAUUGAAGAGUGGAAUUGUUUGCUGCUCUUCCCCUGCUAGCAUGGCAGCUAGCAGAUUUUCCUUUAUUAUCCAUUCUUUCUACAAGCAGAGAGCAGCCAGAUCCUUUUGCAGGUUACAGGCUGACACAUCCAGUUUCUUCGAAAAAAACAUUUAAUAAGGACUUAUAAACAGAAGCUACGUUUGUGUCUCCAUGAUUCACCCCCAGGACCAGGGCUUAUAGACCACAGGGGAAGGGUGAUUCAGAAAAGAUGUGUAGGACAGUUGAAGUAUGAUAACAUCAAGGUUGUUUGACCUAAGGGCCGGAUUUACAGUAAGUGUUUGCACUUACACAAGGAGCAAUUGAUAAAUUGGGAAUCUCAGAGGUCUUCUGGGAGGCUCCAAAGCCAACACGGCCAAAACUGUGGAUUAGCAUCCAACAUGGAGUUGCUUUAGCCUCCAUAAGGACUUCUCCCAGUCUCUUCUGGGUUUCCCUUGCUUGCUUGAAAUCUGAUAUUCAGACCAAUUUUUGUGUUGGGUAAUAGCACUACUGGAGUGCUGGGUAACACCUCAGCACAUCCUCAGUCUCUCGCACCUCUGUGUCACUUGGCUCAUCUGAGGCCAUCUCCAGGUGAACCAAAUAUGUGAGGAUAUGAGAGACAGACUGUCCAUCACUUUUUCUUGGAGGCUGACACCUGCUUCAAAGUGUGUGUGUGUGUGUGUGUGUGUGUGUGUGUGUGUGUGUGCACUUGCAGUCAUAUAUGAUUUGCAGUGGCCAGUCUGUGGAUUUGGAUUUCAUUGUGGUGUGGAGAACGUUGUCUGUUUGCCAAGUGCAUAUGUGUGUUUGGGACUGUGUGUGCAUCCCUCAAGCCCUGCCCUUGUUCUCAG